UACGUAGGGGGCUAGCGUUGUCCGGAAUCAUUGGGCGUAAAGAGCGUGUAGGCGGCCCGGUAAGUCCGCUGUGAAAGUCGGGGGCUCAACCCUCGAAUGCCGGUGGAUACUGUCGGGCUAGAGUGCGGAAGAGGCGAGUGGAAUUCCUGGUGUAGCGGUGGAAUGCGCAGAUAUCAGGAGGAACACCAAUUGCGAAGGCAGCUCGCUGGGACGUAACUGACGCUGAGACGCGAAAGCGUGGGGAGCAAACAGG
rnacentral:rRNA from 1 species